rnacentral:lncRNA from 1 species
AUGAGGCACUCCAGGCUACUGAAGUUUUACUUCUGGAAAGGGGUCCAUGAAAGACACCUCCUCUUGAUCGCUCUCUUUCGCUCUCCCAUUUGCUGCUUCUCGAGGUUGUCUGCCUGUUAUUCCACAUUAAGGCUAUUUUCUUCUCUAGCAUCUCACAUUGGGGCUCAAUUGACAGUUUCAUUUUUAGUCUUCACUUUGAAACUUCAAAAAUGUAUAAGAGUGGCCAAGAAGGACUUCUUUUUUAGAUUAAAGUCUGCAACGAGUUCUGAGAAAUCGCCUAGUAUUGCUCGAAUUGUUUACCCUCUUCUAGGUAUAUGACAUGAUAAUUAAAAUUGUCCCACAAAAACUGUGUUUAAUUUUAAAAUUCAAAUUUAGAAUGGAAAUAUUUAUAAGCCUUUCAAAGUAAUUCAAGGCGGCCAAUGAUCCAGGGAAAUACACUAUAAAAACAGAAUAUACUAUGUUUAAAACAUCACCACAUAUCCAAAAUCCUAGCAUAUUAUUUAAAACAAAAAUAAGGAUAGAAACAUUUGGUACAAGAUAUCAUAUUUACUCUUUUGAAAAAUGUCUCUUGAGGUCCUUGGCCCAUCUCUUAAGUGGGUUGUUGGUUUUGUUUUUGUGGAGUUUCUUGAUCUCUUUGUAGAUUCUGGUUAUUAACCCUUUAUCUGUUGCAUAGUUUGCAAAUAUUUUUUCACAUUCUGUCGGUUGCCUCUUCACUCUCCUGACUGUUUCUUUUGCAGUAAUGAAACUUCUCAAUUUGAUGCAAUCCCAAUAGUUGAUUUUGGCUUUGACUGCCUGUGCCUCCCGGGUCUUUUCCAGAAAUUCUUUGCCUGUGCCAAUAUCUUGAAGGGUUUCUCCAAUGUUCUCUAAUAACUUGAUGAUGUCAGGUCGUAGAUUUAGGUCUUUAAUCCAUGUUGAGUGGAUUUUUGUGUAAGGUGUAAGGUAGGGGUCUUGCUUCAUGAUUCUGCACGUGGAAAUCCAAUUUUCCCAGCACCAUUUAUUGAAUAGACUGUCCUUGCUCCAGGAAUUAGUUUUAGAUCCUUGAUUAAAUAUAAGUUGGCUGUAGAUGUUUGGGUUGAUUUCUGGUGUUUCAAUUCUGUUCCAUUGGUCUAUCCAUCUGUUUCUGUACCAGUACCAUGCUGUUUUGAUUACAACUGCCCUGUAGUAUGUCCUGAAAUCUGGUAUUGUGAUGCCUCAGGCUUUGUUUUUGUUGUACAAGAUUGCUUUAGCUAUUCAAGGUCUCUUGUGCCUCCAUAUAAAUUUCAGCACCAUUUUUUCCAGAUCUGAGAAGAAGGUCUUCGGUAUCUUGAUUGGUAUUGCAUUGAAUGUAUAAAUUGCUUUUGGGAGAAUGGACAUUUUGAUGAUGUUGAUUCUUCCAAUCCAUGAGCAUGGAAGAUUUUUCCAUUUCUUGGUAUCCUCUUCUAUUUCUUUCUUUAAGGUUUUGUAAUUUUCAUCGUAGAGAUCUUUAACGUCCUUGGUUAAGUUUAUUCCAAGGUAUUUGAUUGUUUUUGUAGCUAUUGUGAAUGGGAUUGAUCUUAGAAGUUCUUCCUCAGCCAUGGCGUUGUCUGUGUAUACAAAGGCUGUUGAUUUUUGUGCAUUGAUUUUAUACCCUGCUACUUUGCCAAACUCUUCUAUGAGUUCCAAUAGUCUCUUAGUAGAGUUCUUUGGGUCCCCUAAAUAAAGAAUCAUGUCAUCUGCA